rnacentral:tRNA from 1 species
GCAAUGGUCGUCCAAUGGUUAGGAUUGAAGCUUCCCAAGCUUUAGAUCCGGGUUCGAAUCCCGGCCCUUGCA